GCCAUUGUUAACAGGUACAGGUGAUACAAACAGUGUGUUUGAAUAUGUUGAGUCCUUUCAUUGGGAAACCCAAGAGUUUUAAUCCAAAUUCUUGGGUUUGGAUGGGCUGUGGACAGUAGAAUGGAGGGUCUUGGAGACAAAGAUGAUUCAAAGCUGAUCUCUCUGCUUGGCUUCAGACUGGUCUACUACUACUACUACUACUACUAAGGCCCUGUGAAUCAACACUUCAAGAACUUUGACUACUCCCCUGGGAGAUGGAUUUAAGGCAUUAAAUCCCACCUGAGCGGAAGAGCUAUCGGCCACCUGAGCGGAAGAGCUAUCGGCCGCCAGAGAGGGAGAGCUAUCGGCCGCCAGAGAGGGAGAGCUAUCGGCCGCCAGAGAGGGAGAGCUAUCGGCCGCCAGAGAGGGAGAGCUAUCGGCCGCCAGAGAGGGAGAGCUAUCGGCCGCCAGAGAGGGAGAGCUAUCGGCCGCCAGAGAGGGAGAGCUAUCGGCCGCCAGAGAGGGAGAGCUAUCGGCCGCCAGAGAGGGAGAGCUAUCGGCCGCCAGAGAGGGAGAGCUAUCGGCCGCCAGAGAGGGAGAGCUAUCGGCCGCCAGAGAGGGAGAGCUAUCGGCCGCCAGAGAGGGAGAGCUAUCGGCCGCCAGAGAGGGAGAGCUAUCGGCCGCCAGAGAGG